GCCUGAGUGGUCUAGUGGUAUGAUACACCGUUCGGAUCGGUGUGGUCCCCGGAUCGAUCCCGGGCUCGGGCC